UAAUACUGGAUAGGCAAUUAUUCCUGUAAUGGUUUUUUGUUUAAAUGUUUUUUCGCCUAAGGAUGGGUCUGCGGCCGAUUAGGUAGUUGGUUAGGUAAUGGCUUACCAAGCCUUUGAUCGGUACGGGUUGUGAGAGCAAGAGCCCGGAGAUGGAACCUGAGACAAGGUUCCAGGCCCUACGGGGUGCAGCAGGCGCGAAACCUCCGCAAUGUGAGAAAUCGCGACGGGGGGAUCCCAAGUGCCAUUCUUAACGGGAUGGCUUUUCUUUAGUGUAAAAAGCUUUUGGAAUAAGAGCUGGGCAAGACCGGUGCCAGCCGCCGCGGUAACACCGGCAGCUCUAGUGGUAGCAAUUUUUAUUGGGCCUAAAGCGUCCGUAGCCGGUUUAAUAAGUCUCUGGUGAAAUCCUGUAGCUUAACUGUGGGAAUUGCUGGAGAUACUAUUAGACUUGAGACCGGGAGAGGUUAGAGGUACUCCCAGGGUAGAGGUGAAAUUCUGUAAUCCUGGGAGGACCGACUGUUGCGAAGGCGUCUAACUGGAACGGUUCUGACGGUGAGGGACGAAAGUUAGGGGCGCGAACCGGAUUAGAUACCCGGGUAGUCCUAACUGUAAACAGCAUGCGGACUUGGUGUAG
rnacentral:rRNA from 1 species